rnacentral:rRNA from 1 species
AUGAUUGCUCUUAUCGGUAUGGCUCCUACCGAGGAGGAGGGAGAAGAGAAGAAGAAGAGGGAAAGGAAGGCAGCCGGAGCUGCUUUCACGUGGAUUCAAAAUAACUUUGCGACGUGCCCUCCGGAUGCAACUGAUGAUGUGAUCCAGACACAUGCUCGUGUGUAUAUGUGGUACAUUGUGUCGAGGACUUUGUUUCCUGACUCCACUGGCAAGAACGCUCCAUGGAUGUGGCUGAAGGCGUUGACCGUCUUCGAUAGCAAAUGGAGCUGGGGUUCAGCGACUCUUGCCUACUUGUACCGACAGGUAGUUGGUCUGUUUUGUGAUCAACUCAUUUAUUCAUUAGCAAUGCAAGCUUGCUGUCAAGUUAACAUUGUUUUUCUUUCAUAUGUAGUUGGAUGA